rnacentral:rRNA from 1 species
GACGAACGCUGGCGGCGUGCUUAACACAUGCAAGUCGAACGGAAAGGCCUCUUUCGGGGGGUACUCGAGUGGCGAACGGGUGAGUAACACGUGAGUAACCUGCCCUUGACUUUGGGAUAACUUCAGGAAACUGGGGCUAAUACCGGAUAGGAGCUCCUGCUGCAUGGUGGGGGUUGGAAAGUUUCGGCGGUUGGGGAUGGACUCGCGGCUUAUCAGCUUGUUGGUGGGGUAGUGGCUUACCAAGGCUUUGACGGGUAGCCGGCCUGAGAGGGUGAACGGCCACAUUGGGACUGAGAUACGGCCCAGACUCCUACGGGAGGCAGCAGUGGGGAAGAUUGCACAAGGGGUGGAAGCCUGAUGCAGCAACGCCGUGUGCGGGAUGACGGCCUUCGGGUUGUAAACCGCUUUCGCUCAUGACGAAGCUUUGUGUGACGGUAGUGGGUAAAGAAGCACCGGCUAACUACGUG